CCCUUGGUUGAUCCUGCCGGACCCCACUGCUAUCGAGAUGGGACUAAGGUAUGCUAGUCGAACGACCAGAACUAUGUCUGGGAGUGGCACACUGCUCAGUAACACGUAGCUAACCUACCCUUAGGACGUGGAUACCCCCGAGAAAUUGGGGUUAAUCCGCGAUAGAUGUAAUGUCCUGGAAUGGUAUUACGUCUAAAGGUAUUUCAUACAUGUUUGAAAUAUGCCUAAGGAUGGGGCUGCGGCCGAUCAGGCUGUUGGUGAGGUAAUGGCUCACCAAACCUUUGACCGGUACGGGCCAUGAGAGUGGUAGCCCGGAGAUGGACACUGAGACAAGGGUCCAGGCCCUAAGGGGCGCAGCAACCGCGAAACCUCCACAGUGCACUCACGUGCGAUGGGGCUAUCUCGAGUGCCACCUGAUGAAGGUGGCUUUUCCUUGGUCUUCAAAGCCUUGGGAAUAAGAGGGGGGCAAGACUGGUGUCAGCCGCCGCGGUAACACCAGCCCCUCGAGUGGUGGGGAUGAUUAUUUGGCCUAAAGCGUCCGUAGCCGGCCGUGAAAGUCUUCCGUUAAAUCCAGCGUCUCAAGCGUUGGACCGCGGGAGAUACUACAUGGCUAGAGAGUGGGAGAGGUCAGCGGUAUUCUGGGGGUAGGGGCGAAAUCCUUUGAUCCCCGGAGGACCACCAGUGGCGAAGGCUGCUGACUAGAACACGUCUGACGGUCAGGGACGAAAGCUGGGGUAGCGAACCGGAUUAGAUACCCGGGUAGUCCCAGCCGUAAACGAUGCAUGCUAGGUGUUGGGUUGGCCACGAGCCACCCCAGUGCCGCAGGGAAGCCGUUAAGCAUGCCGCCUGGGAAGUACGAUCGCAAGAUGAAACUUAAAGGAAUUGGCGGGGGAGCACCACCAGGCGUGAAGCCUGCGGUUUAAUUGGAUUCAACGCCGGGAAGGGCGAAUU
rnacentral:rRNA from 1 species